rnacentral:rRNA from 1 species
AUAUCAAUAAGCGGAGGAAAAGGAACCAACAGGGAUUGCCUCAGUAACGGCGAGUGAAGCGGCAAGAGCUCAAAUUUGAAAUCUGGAGCCUUCGGCUUCCGAGUUGUAAUUUGAAGAGGGUGUUUCGGUUGUCGGCCUUGGCCUAAGUUCCUUGGAACAGGACGUCAUGGAGGGUGAGAAUCCCGUGAACGGCUGAAGGUUUGCUUCCAUGUGAAACCCCUUCGAAGAGUCGAGUUGUUUGGGAAUGCAGCUCAAAAUGGGUGGUAAAUUUCAUCUAAAGCUAAAUAUUGGCGGGAGACCGAUAGCGCACAAGUA